UACAGGGGGUGCUAGCGUUGUUCGGAAUCACUGGGCUUAAAGGGCGCGUAGGCGGGCUGCCAAGUCUGGGGUGAAAUCCCACGGCUCAACCGUGGAACUGCCUCAGAUACUGGCGGCCUCGAGGGAGGUAGGGGCAUGCGGAACUAUGCGUGGAGCGGUGAAAUGCGUUGAUAUGCAUAGGAACCCCGGUGGCGAAGGCGGCGUGCUGGACCUCUUCUGACGCUGAGGCGCGAAAGCCAGGGGAGCAAACGGG
rnacentral:rRNA from 1 species